rnacentral:rRNA from 1 species
AGCCAUGCCGCGUGUGUGAAGAAGGCCCUCGGGGUUGUAAAGCACUUUAAGCGAGGAGGAAGGUCAUCAUACUAAUAUUAUGAUGAAUUGACGUUACUCGCAGAAUAAGCACCGGCUAACUCUGUGCCAGCAGCCGCGGUAAUACAGAGGGUGCAAGCGUUAAUCGGAAUUACUGGGCGUAAAGCGCGCGUAGGCGGUUUGUUAAGUCGGAUGUGAAAUCCCUGGGCUCAACCUAGGCACUGCAUCCGAUACUGGCUGACUAGAGUGUGGGAGAGGAAGGUAGAAUUCCAGGUGUAGCGGUGAAAUGCGUAGAGAUCUGGAGGAAUACCGAUGGCGAAGGCAGCCUUCUGGCCUAACACUGACGCUGAGGUGCGAAAGCAUGGGGAGCAAACAGGAUUAGAUACCCUGGUAGUCCAUGCUGUAAACGAUGUCAACUAGCCGUUGGGGUCUUUAAGGCUUAGUGGCGUAGCUAACGCGAUAAGUUGACCGCCUGGGGAGUACGGUCGC